GAGGUACGAGGAAAACAUCUGAAUCAGCCUGAAUGUAACUGGGACUGAUCAGACCCAGCUCUGCCUCAGAAAGUUA